CAGCAGCCGCGGGAAUACAGAGGGUGCGAGCGUUAAUCGGAUUUACUGGGCGUAAAGCGUGCGUAGGCGGCUUUUUAAGUCGGAUGUGAAAUCCCUGAGCUUAACUUAGGAAUUGCAUUCGAUACUGGGAAGCUAGAGUAUGGGAGAGGAUGGUAGAAUUCCAGGUGUAGCGGUGAAAUGCGUAGAGAUCUGGAGGAAUACCGAUGGCGAAGGCAGCCAUCUGGCCUAAUACUGACGCUGAGGUACGAAAGCAUGGGGAGCAAAUAGGAUUAGAUACCCCCGUAGUCCCUGUCUCUUAUAC
rnacentral:rRNA from 1 species